rnacentral:misc_RNA from 1 species
GUUAAUCGCGUGACCACGAGAGUGCGUUGCAGUUUGUUACAACAUGGCGGGUGAGUGAGUGCCUGUGGAUCGAACGAAGCUGCCCAAAAACACGAGGGAUUUUCAGCUAACCCGUGGUGUUUGUGGGUUUCAGAUAUAUCCUACAUCCAGAAAGAAGAACUGGACGAUUCUGACGAAGUGACAACGGCUGGAACGACACGUGGAUACGCGAAGAAAUCUUGGGGUUACUUUGUACGAUUAAAAAGCAAUGGAGAUUGAUGAAGUCGACGACGAUGAUGUUGAUUAUAAUCUGAGUCCUGACGCUUCCGGAAACGAUAUUUGCAAUAUUGGAGGAAGCGGCGACGAAGGCGGAAAGGACGAACUGCUUCUGAAAUUGCAACAAUACGUAACGUCGGACGCAAACUUCACACGGUAAGUUUGUCCAAGGAAC